AAACCAUUGAACGCAGUUUUUGAAUCUUGACGUUUCCUAUGUCCUAUCAAUUUGUUUAAAAGAUGAAGAUAUGAAUUUAAGAUUACUAAUCUGUGAAUUAUUUUUUGAAAAGUAAUACUGCGGCAAGGAGUUGAAGGAAAACUUUCAUAUUUUCUAUACAAGAACUAUGCAGAUAACCUAUGGCCGCAGUGAAAUUCAAUACACAGGAAAUAGAUUGGUUCAAUGAUAAAAUACUCAAUGUUCUACAACAUCCAUCAUGUCGUGAUAUAUACCACCAGUACCUCAAGAGGUACAGUCCAGCAAAUUACAAUGCAUUCAAACUAUGGAAGACGGCUAAUGAUACCAAAGAAUAUAAGGAAGAUUUAUUUUUUGAUCUAAUUGAAGAUGUAGAUGAAUUUAAUGAAAAUCCUUUGUUAACAAUAGCAGAAACUGACCAUAAAAUUUUAUUUAUUAAACAAGAAUGUUGUAGAAUAUUAGAAAAAACUCGUUCGAAUUUUAUACAUUACUUAAGAAGGCACUAUAUGUAGAUAUAUUUAUUGAAUACAGUUGUUAUCUUUUCUAAA